UUGCAAUGGAAAGUCGUGAAACCAAAACCAAAGUUAUCCAGGCGGCCAAUCAGACGAAAGGAGAAAACCUUUAAGAGCCAAUGAAAACUUAAAAUAAAAGCAAUCAAACGGCCUGAAGGGCGGGGAAAACGCGGACGACCAUUUCGUGAUUGGUUUUAGUUUUGCGUCUGAUUGGUUGAGAGAAUGGUGGCAGUUCUCAGGACCAAUCACAAAGCGAUGUCGGAUUACUUUCGACACCCAACUUUAAAGCGACAGUGCAUAGACGUGCUGAUUGUUAUUGGAGUAAAAAUUGCCGAACUCAGAGGACCAAACCACUUCAUGCAAGUCGCUUCAAUCACAUUUGUGAAUAGACAAGAUUUAUAUAGCUGAGAUUAUCUCCAUCAGCAAGAAGUUUGCCCAACAGUUUGCCGGUACCUAUCAUAAUGCAAACAUAUCCCGGCAUACUUUUUCAAACUGAUAUUAUCUUCGAAACUAUACACCUCAUUUGCAUCUCAUGUUUAUUUGAAUAAAAACGAGACAAACAAC